rnacentral:rRNA from 1 species
CCUACGGGAGGCAGCAGUGAGGAAUAUUGGUCAAUGGGCGCGAGCCUGAACCAGCCAAGUAGCGUGAAGGAUGACUGCCCUACUGGUUGUCAACUUCUUUUAUAAAGGAAUAAAGUGAGGCACGUGUGCCUUUUUGUAUGUACUUUAUGAAUAAGGAUCGGCUAACUCCGUGCCAUCAGCCGCGGUAAUACGGAGGAUCCGAGCGUUAUCCGGAUUUAUUGGGUUUAAAUGUAUCGUAGAUGGGUUGUUAAGUCAGUUGUGAAAGUUUGCGGCUCAACCUUAAAAUUGCAAUUGAUACUGGCAGCGUUUGUUACAGUUUAGGUAGGCGGAAGUCGUGGUGUAGCGGUGAAAUGCUUAGAUAUCACGAAGAACUCCGAUUGCGAAGGCAGCCUACUAAACUGCCACUGACAUUGAUGCUCGAAAGUGUGGGUAUCAAACAGGAUUAGAUACACCUGUAGUC